UACGUAGGAUCCAAGCGUUGUCCGGAUUUACUGGGUGUAAAGGGUGCGCAGGCGGACUGGUUAGUCUGGGGUGAAAUCUCAUCGCUUAACGGUGAAACUGCCUUAGAUACUGCCAGUCUUGGAUAAGCGAGAGGUUCGUGGAAUUCCGAGUGUAGCAGUGAAAUGUGUAGAUAUUCGGAAGAACACCAGUGGCGAAGGCAGCGAACUGGCGCUUUAUCGACGCUCAGGCACGAAAGCAUGGGGAUCAAACAGG
rnacentral:rRNA from 1 species